rnacentral:rRNA from 1 species
AGAAAAUUUUCAACGAUGGAUAUCUGGGUUCCCAUAACGAUGAAGAACGCAGCGAAAUGCGAUACGCAAUGCGAAUAGCAGAUACGCGAGACAUUAGAUCUUCGAACGCAAUUGGCGCUAGUUUACUAGCAUGUUUGUUUCAGUGU